rnacentral:rRNA from 1 species
UCUCCUGGAAAACGGGUGGUAAUGCCGGAUGCUCCAGCAGACCGCAUGGUCCUCUGGGAAAGCUUCUGCGGUAUGGGAUGGGGUCGCGUCCUAUCAGCUUGAUGGCGGGGUAACGGCCCACCAUGGCUUCGACGGGUAGCCGGCCUGAGAGGGCGACCGGCCACAUUGGGACUGAGAUACGGCCCAGACUCCUACGGGAGGCAGCAGUGGGGAAUAUUGCACAAUGGGCGCAAGCCUGAUGCAGCGACGCCGCGUGCGGGAUGACGGCCUUCGGGUUGUAAACCGCUUUUGACUGGGAGCAAGCCCUUCGGGGUGAGUGUACCUUUCGAAUAAGCACCGGCUAACUACGUGCCAGCAGCCGCGGUAAUACGUAGGGUGCAAGCGUUAUCCGGAAUUAUUGGGCGUAAAGGGCUCGUAGGCGGUUCGUCGCGUCCGGUGUGAAAGUCCAUCGCUUAACGGUGGAUCCGCGCCGGGUACGGGCGGGCUUGAGUGCGGUAGGGGAGACUGGAAUUCCCGGUGUAACGGUGGAAUGUGUAGAUAUCGGGAAGAACACCA